rnacentral:rRNA from 1 species
CAGUCGCCGCGGGAAUACAGAGGGUGCGAGCGUUAAUCGGAUUUACUGGGCGUAAAGCGUGUGUAGGUUGUUGUUCAAGUCAGUUGUGAAAUCCCCGAGCUUAACUUGGGAAUUGCAUUCGAUACUGGUUAGCUAGAGUGUGGGAGAGGAUGGUAGAAUUCCAGGUGUAGCGGUGAAAUGCGUAGAGAUCUGGAGGAAUACCGAUGGCGAAGGCGACUAUCUGGGCCAACACUGACACUGAGGCACGAAAGCGUGGGGAGCAAACAGGAUUAGAUACCCCAGUAGUCCCUGUCUCUUAUAC